AUUGAACGCUGGCGGCAUGCCUUACACAUGCAAGUCGAACGGUAACAGGUCUUCGGAUGCUGACGAGUGGCGAACGGGUGAGUAAUGCAUCGGAACGUGCCCAGUUGUGGGGGAUAACUGCUCGAAAGAGCAGCUAAUACCGCAUACGACCUGAGGGUGAAAGCGGGGGAUCGCAAGACCUCGCGCAAUUGGAGCGGCCGAUGUCAGGUUAGGUAGUUUGUGGGGUAAAGGCCUGCCAAGCCGACGAUCUGUAGUUGGUCUGAGAGGACGACCAGGCACACGGGGACUGAGACACGUCCCAGACGCCUACGGGAGGCAGCAGUGGGGAAUUUUGGACAAUGGGCGCAAGCCUGAUCCAGCAAUGCCGCGUGCAGGAAGAAGGCCUUCGGGUUGUAAACUGCUUUUGUCAGGGAAGAAAUCCUCUGGGUUAAUACCCCGGGGGGAUGACGGUACCUGAAGAAUAAGCACCGGCUAACUACGUGCCAGCAGCCGCCGUAACAC
rnacentral:rRNA from 1 species